rnacentral:rRNA from 1 species
AAUGAACGUUGGCGGCGUGGAUUAGGCAUGCAAGUCGAGGGAGAACCCGCAAGGGGGAAACCGGCGAACGGGGUAGGAUCACGUCGGUACGUACCCUCGGGACGGGGAUAGCCAUGGGAAACUGUGGGUAAUACCCGAUGAUCUGGCGAAAGCCAGCAAAGGUGAGAUUCCGCCCGGGGAGCGGCUGACGCGCUACUAGCUUGUUGGUGAGGUAACGGCUAACCAAGGCGACGAUGGCUAGGGGGUGUGAGAGCAUGGCCCCCACCACUGGGGCUGAGAUACUGCCCAGACACCUACGGGUGGCUGCAGUCGAGAAUCUUCGGCAAUGGGCGCAAGCCUGACCGGGCGACGCCGCGUGCGGGAUGAAGGUCUUCGGAUUGUAAACCGCUGUCGGGAGGGAUGAAGUGCAUGGGGGUUCUCCCCCGUGUUUGACAGAGCUCCGGAGGAAGCACGGGCUAAGUUCGUGCCAGCCGCCGCGGUAACAC